rnacentral:rRNA from 1 species
GAUGAACGCUGGCGGCGUGCCUAAUACAUGCAAGUCGAGCGAACGGACGAGAAGCUUGCUUCUCUGAUGUUGGCGGCGGACGGGUGAGUAACACGUGGAUAACCUACCUAUAAGACUGGGAUAACUUCGGGAAACCGGAGCUAAUACCGGAUAAUAUUUUGAACCGCAUGGUUCAAAAGUGAAAGACGGUCUUGCUGUUACUUAUAGAUGGAUCCGCGCUGCAUUAGCUAGUUGGUAAGGUAACGGCUUACCAAGGCAACGAUGCAUAGCCGACCUGAGAGGGUGAUCGGCCACACUGGAACUGAGACACGGUCCAGACUCCUACGGGAGGCAGCAGUAGGGAAUCUUCCGCAAUGGGCGAAAGCCUGACGGAGCAACGCCGCGUGAGUGAUGAAGGUCUUCGGAUCGUAAAACUCUGUUAUUAGGGAAGAACAUAUGUGUAAGUAACUGUGCACAUCUUGACGGUACCUAAUCAGAAAGCCACGGCUAACUACGUG